GCCGAAGUGGCGGAACUGGCAGACGCGCUGGAAUCAGGCUCCAGUGAGCGUAAAGCUCAUGCGGGUUCGACUCCCGCCUUCGGCACCA
rnacentral:tRNA from 2 species